AGCUACUGAGACUGCCUGUAAAUUAUGGCGGGUAGAGGCUUAAUUGAGAGAAUCUUUAUAAAUAAAUGUUUUAUUGUUUACAGAGAUUCUACCAUUAGUUAUUAGAGAGAGUGAAGGUUUGCCACCUACUAGUGAUAGUGAUUCAUUGUUAUUUAAAAGUACACAAAAAGCAGAAGAAACUGGAUGACAUCACUUUGCACGACACUACAAAGCUAAAUCUGUCUUCACUCCAACUUCACACAAAAAAUAGAUGGGAUAACACUAGCAGAAGAAAUUUAAAAUCAAGAAAGCAGCCUGCACUCAUUGGUAAUGUACCCAAGAAAACAUUGUUAGAUGAGCUGACACAUGCUAAGCUAGAAUUAGUGAAUCUACAGGAAGGGCUUAUAGAAGCAGAAAUAAUUGAAAAAAAAGGUGUGGGAGUUUGAAGAAAAUGAACGCAAAAAGGAAUCUGCAUGCAAAGAAAAAGAAAGGGAGUGCGAAGAAAAAGAACAGCAGUGCAAAGAAAAGGAGCGCAAGUUCAAACAAAAGGAGCGCGAGUUCAAACAAAAGGAGCGCGAGUUCAAAAAAAAGGAGCGCGAGUUCAAACAAAAGGAGUUGAAAUGGAAAGAAGAGGAAUAUAAAUUAAAAUUAAACAAAUUAAGAAAACACUAAAAUCUGGAAUUGCUAAAAUAAAUGGCUGCAACAGAGCCCAUACAUUGCCCAAUUUGCAGAUAGACUUAGUUCUGCUGCAUAUGCUUUAUAUAGAGAGUACAAUAAUGUAACUACACUGCUUUCAGAUGUUCAGUUAUUUUCAUAACAUCAAGACAUAAAUAAAAAUAU